AGGACGAACGCUGGCGGCGUGCCUAACACAUGCAAGUCGAACGAGGUUAAUCCGGUAGCAAUACUGGUGACUGCCUAGUGGCGAACGGGUGAGUAGCACGUGAGCAACCUGCCCCGAAGACCGGGACAACACCGGGAAACCGGUGCUAAUACCGGAUACCCCCACCUAAUCGCAUGAUCUGGUGAGGAAAUGGAUUCCGCUUCGGGAGGGGCUCGCGGCCUAUCAGCUAGUUGGUGAGGUAACGGCUCACCAAGGCUUCGACGGGUAGCUGGUCUGAGAGGACGAUCAGCCACACUGGGACUGAGACACGGCCCAGACUCCUACGGGAGGCAGCAGUGGGGAAUCUUGCACAAUGGGCGAAAGCCUGAUGCAGCAACGCCGCGUGAGGGACGAAGGCUUUCUGAGUUGUAAACCUCUUUCAGCAGGGACGAUUGUGACGGUACCUGCAGAAGACGCCCGGCCAACUACGCGCCAGCAGCCGCGGUAA
rnacentral:rRNA from 1 species